GUUUCUCUGAUGACAAGAAAAAGCACUACCAUGUAUUAUUCUUCUCUCAUCUUUAAUCUCUUCCUCCUUGGUCUCUUUUUUAGCCUGCUCGUAUCUAGCCGGGAUUCUCACAAGGAUGGUGAAAAGAUUUAUAUUGUGUAUAUGGGAAGAAAGCUAGAUGACCCUGAUUCUGCUCGUUUGCAUCAUAGGGCAAUGUUGGAAGAAGUCGUUGGCAGCACUUUCGAACCAGAAUCUGUGGUAUACACUUACAAGAGAAGUUUCAAUGGAUUUGCGGUGAAACUAACAGAAGAAGAAGCUCAAAACAUUGCUGCUAAGGAGGGUGUUGUGUCUGUGUUCCCAAGCAAAACGAAACAUAUUAAAACGACAAGAUCAUGGGAUUUUCUAGGUUUUCCACAAAAUGUUCCACGUGUAAAACAAGUGGAAAGCAACAUAGUUGUUGGAGUUUUCGACAGCGGAAUCUGGCCUGAGUCUCCCAGUUUCAACGAUGAAGGGUUUGGUCCUGCGCCACCCAACUGGAAGGGAACUUGCCAAGCCUCCAUAAACUUCAGUUGCAACAGAAAAAUUAUCGGAGCUCGAGCAUAUCUCAUCGAUUCCCCAGUUCCACCUGGUGAUGUUAAUAGUCCAAGAGAUAUAGACGGACAUGGGACGCACACUGCGUCGACGGUGGCUGGCGGUCUCGUGAGCCAGGCAAGUUUGUACGGUCUCGGGCUUGGUACGGCAAGAGGAGGGGUUCCCUCUGCGCGUAUUGCUGUGUACAAAAUUUGUUGGAAGGCAGUUGGUUGCUCUGACGCCAACAUUCUUGCAGCAUUUGACGAUGCAGUCGCCGAUGGGGUGGAUAUCAUAUCUCUUUCAGUUGGUGGGGAGGAAGCAGAAGUUUACUUCAGGGAUCCCAUCGCCAUUGGAGCUUUCCAUGCCAGCAAAAAUGGAAUAUUGACCUCCAAUUCUGCCGGAAAUGAAGGUCCUAAGUACUUCACCACUCCAAGCGUGUCUCCAUGGCUUCUUUCUGUUGCUGCAAGCAGCAUGGACAGAAAGUUUGUCACACAAGUUCAGCUUGGCAAUGGAAAUAUAUAUCAAGGAAUAUCAAUCAACACAUUUUCUAUGGAUUAUAAAUAUCCCUUGGUUUAUGCUGGUGAUGUACCCAACAUAGGUUUUCAUCGUUCCAUCUCCCGAUAUUGCGGGAAUAACUCGGUGAAUCCUGAGUUGGUGAGGGGUAAAAUCCUUCUUUGUGAUGAUGUAAUGUCUUCUAGUGUAAUCUCUACCUUCGGAAGUGUUGCCGGCGUCCUAAUGCAAGCAUAUUCGAACGACAGUGCAAGGUCUUUUAUCCUGCCCGCUACUGUCCUACACCCACAAGAUGGCACUCACAUUUACCCCUACAUUCGUUCAACAAGGACUCCAACUGCAACCAUUUUCAAGAGUAUCGUUGCACGAGAUACAUAUGCUCCUGUCGUAGUUUCCUUCUCAUCCAAGGGACCUAAUGCUAUAACCAACGACAUUCUCAAGCCAGAUUUGACUGGACCAGGAGUUGAAAUUUUAGCAGCAUGGCCUCCCGUUGCACCUAUUGCCGGAGUUCGAGAUUCCAGGAGUACGCAUUAUAAUAUAAUCUCAGGAACAUCAAUGUCUUGCCCACAUAUCAGCGGAGUUGCAGUGUAUGUCAAAACAUUUAACCCAAGUUGGUCUCCUGCUGCUAUAAAAUCAGCACUCAUGACAACAGCU
rnacentral:misc_RNA from 1 species